rnacentral:rRNA from 1 species
AACGUUAAGACGAUGACGUUGAUAGGCCGGGUGUGUAAGCGCAGCGAUGCGUUGAGCUAACCGGUACUAAUGAACCGUGAGGCUUAACCUU